GAACGCUGGCAGCAGGCCUAACACAUGCAAGUCGAACGGUAACAGGAAGCAGCUUGCUGCUUGCUGACGAGUGGCGGACGGGUGAGUAAUGUCUGGGAAACUGCCCGAUGGAGGGGGAUAACUACUGGAAACGGUAGCUAAUACCGCAUAAUGUCGCAAGACCAAAGAGGGGGACCUUCGGGCCUCUUGCCAUCGGAUGUGCCCAGAUGGGAUUAGCUUGUUGGUGAGGUAACGGCUCACCAAGGCGACGAUCCCUAGCUGGUCUGAGAGGAUGACCAGCCACACUGGAACUGAGACACGGUCCAGACUCCUACGGGAGGCAGCAGUGGGGAAUAUUGCACAAUGGGCGCAAGCCUGAUGCAGCCAAUGCCGCGUGUAUGAAGAAGGCCUUCGGGUUGUAAAGUACUUUCAGCGGGGAGGAAGGGGUUAAGGUUAAUAACCUUAGCCAUUGACGUUACCCGCAGAAGAAGCACCGGCUAACUCCGUGCCAGCCGCCGC
rnacentral:rRNA from 1 species